rnacentral:rRNA from 1 species
GACGAACGCUGGCGGCGUGCCUAACACAUGCAAGUCUGGGAGAAAGGGGUAGCAAUAUCCCGAGUACACCGGCGAACGGGUGAGUAACACGUGGGUGACCUGCCCUCAGCUCUGGGAUAAGCCUGGGAAACCGGGUCUAAUACUGGAUAUGACUCCAUGACGCAUGUUGUGGGGUGGAAAGCCCUUGUGCGGCUGAGGGAGUC